GAACGGUAGCACAGAGAGCUUGCUCUCGGGUGACGAGUGGCGGACGGGUGAGUAAUGUCUGGGAAACUGCCCGAUGGAGGGGGAUAACUACUGGAAACGGUAGCUAAUACCGCAUAACGUCGCAAGACCAAAGUGGGGGACCUUCGGGCCUCACACCAUCGGAUGUGCCCAGAUGGGAUUAGCUAGUAGGUGGGGUAAUGGCCCACCUAGGCGACGAUCCCUAGCUGGUCUGAGAGGAUGACCAGCCACACUGGAACUGAGACACGGUCCAGACUCCUACGGGAGGCAGCAGUGGGGAAUAUUGCACAAUGGGCGCAAGCCUGAUGCAGCCAUGCCGCGUGUAUGAAGAAGGCCUUCGGGUUGUAAAGUACUUUCAGCGGGGAGGAAGGCGGUGGAGUUAAUAGCUUCACCGAUUGACGUUACCCGCAGAAGAAGCACCGGCUAACUCCGUG
rnacentral:rRNA from 1 species